CGGAUAGAGCCAGCGAAGUCGCUCGUAUUCAGCCAAAAGUCUGGGGUUGCCUGUCGUCGUGUUUCUAAUCGAGCACGGCGGUUUGUCUUCUCCGGAUUGAGGUGCAUUUGCGGGCGUUUGCGCUGAGACUUGCGAGGCAGCUGCGGGACCGGCGUUUAGAGGCUUCCCAUUGGGUUGAACCUGGGCGCCGUUACAGCUGUUUGCCUUGCUCGUACUGGUCUGGCCUACGGACCCUGCUCGUGCUGUUGUCAACUGGCCAAGGCAUCGCAUGCGAUGUCUAGCCUGGGGGCUGCAGCGCGGGUUGGUGUCCCCGGAUCGCCUCUCGGUGUAGAAGCUGGUCAUCUCUCCGACCCGUCUUGAAACACGGACCAAGGAGUUUAGCGUAUGCGCGAGUCAUUGGGUGUUAAAACCCACAGGCGCAAUGAAAGUGAAGGCUCGGUCGCCGGGCUGACAUGCGAGUGCCGCGGCUUCGGCCCAGGCAUGCAGCAUGGUCCCAUUGCAAUCGUUUACGAUACAGUGGAGACAGAGCGUAUGCGCUGAG
rnacentral:rRNA from 1 species